rnacentral:misc_RNA from 1 species
CUCGUCCGCAAAGUCUACCAGAGUGGCACCGCCAGAUCAUGAACAGACACGUGGCGGAGCCGUAUCCGAAAAAGAAAUUGAGUACGACCUUACAUAAAAUACAGUGGAUUGUGCCUUGUAUUUUUCAAAAUUUUCCAAUUUCGCUACACAAAGAAGCGUGUAUCGACUCAAUAUCCCUCACACGUGUCAAUCUCCUGUCUGUCCCUUCCCCUUCGCUUGCCUUCUUUAAUCUCCUCUUUCUUCCCCCCUUUUUUCUUUUCUCUUGUCUCUCACUAGUAACUAAAUGGAACAUUCAGAGGAAGAGCAGCUCCAGCGAGUCGACUCACUUCCUGACGCCGAGCUAGCAUCAACGAGCUCUGGCUUCUCCUCAAUACUAAGCACUGAAGAUACUCAAAGUGCUACGAGCCCUGGAGACAUCUCUACCAUUAGCGGGAGUUCCGGUGAGAUUCCAGCCGCGGUUGUGGCGGAUGCUGUCGUGCCGAGGUACAUGGAGCCUGCGAGAGAAGGGGAGCUCACCGCUGGGACGGUAAGGGACAGGUGUGUGGGAAGGAAUAAUAAAGGAGUGAGCUGGGGGUUCACGUCGGUGAUUGGGAGAAGGCGGGAGAUGGAGGAUGCCGUUUCCGUUAUACCGGGAUUUAUGUCACGCACGUGCGAUCACGUGGGCGGAUGUACGGCUCCAGGUUCAAGAACUUCCGCCGAGAUCUCGCCAAUCCAUUUCUUCGGCGUCUACGAUGGUCAUGGUGGCUCCCAGGUGGCUAAUUAUUGUAAAAGGAGAAUGCAUGAAGUUGUAGCAGAGGAAUUGGAUCGUGAAAGUACAAUUGAUGGCAAUGAAUGGCAGAGAAGGUGGGAAGUUGCUUUUUCCAGUGGUUUUGAGAAGGCAGACAAUGAGGUCUUGACAGAGGCACCGGAAAUGGUCGGAUCCACAGCAGUAGUGGUGGUUUUAUCCGGUUGCCAGAUUAUCACGUCAAACUGUGGUGACUCAAGGGCGGUGCUCUGCCGUGGGAAUCAAACUAUUCCCUUAACUGUCGAUCACAAGGUCAUGUAUCAAAAUCUCUUCUAAUUCUUUUUGUUACUCUAUCCCCUUUUUGGAAUGUAUAAUUUUACAAGAAUUUAAUUCAAUUAAAUUUUUUUUUUCAAUUUUCAUAUUUAGAAUGAAAGAAUUUAAUUCAUUUUAACUUAAAAAAAGUGCAUUUUAAAAGAAAGAGAAAUCAAGCAUGAUUUCUAUGAGAAUUCAAUUGAAUUAUUUGUUUACAAAUAAUUUAUUUCAAAGGAAGCCUUAAUCUUACAUUUGUGAGCAGGUUUGAUGGUGAAAACUUGUUUGUAGUUUUGGACUUGAUCAGGUGCAUAGUUAUGCGUGUGCUUCACGAGCAUUAUAAGCUAGGAAAGUUUGCAUUGGUUAGUGCCAAUUAUGAAGUCCUGAAGCUUGAGUGUAAAGCGUAAAUUAAUAUAUGGAAGUUUCUUGAAUGAGUUAUAAUAAAAGGAUUAUUUUUUUAAUUAUUAUUUUCAAAAUUGUGACUUUUCUAGACUCUGGCUUGGUUUAAUAUCGUUUCUGUUUCUAAUGGUUCAUAGAGGCUUAUCUUCCUUGAAACAUUCAACUCAUCAAUAAAUUUCAAUUAUAUGUUAUAAUUAAGUCUUGGGUUGAAUAUGGCUUUUGAUGUAAUACUUUGUAUUCUAGGUGUUGCGGGUCAUGUUCUACCCAACCUCAUCUGUGACAGUUUUAUGCUGGGGUUCAAUGCGUGUCAAUUUUAUUAGGUUCACAGAUUAAUUUCUCUUUAUUGAUUUUAAAUAUUAAUUUAUGUAGUUAAAACUAGGAGUGGAUGUAAGGGUCAAAUGGAUUAAUUUCUCUGUGUUGAUUUUAAAUUUUAGUUUAUGCAGUUAAAACUAGGAGUGAAUGCAAGGGUCAAAAGGAAACAAGCUAUAGUCCAAUUAGUGUUUCCACUCAACUUCAACCUUAUGAUCACCAAAGUGGGUUUAAUAAUUUUGCUCUGAGUUCAAUACGGAUUGGGACGCAAUUACGUCCUAUUUAUGGAAGGAAACAUGGCAAUAGAAAACAAUCUGCUUCUAUUAUGUGUUCUGCUGCUUUGGUAAGAUUAUAUAUCCAUACUUGUUUACAUGUUUCUAUGCCAAGUUGCCAAAUAGUAGAUUUGUUUCUUUGUCCAUUUUUAUUAUAUGUUGAACAUGUGAAGUUGCAGUUUUCUGAAAAUGAUUGACAUUUUUGCAUGUAAUGGUUUUUAAUAGUUAUUAGUUAUGCAAGCAGUAAUAAUUGUGACAUUUUAUAUAGGUUGUUUUGUUGUCUUCUGCUUGCUUUUAUAAAAAAGUGAUGGGACAUAGCCAUACUUUGAUCUUCCUAACGCAAGAAGCUUUUACGUUUUGUUAUUGCUAUUCUUUAUGAAAUUUGCACGUUUUUGUUGAUCUAUUUUAUUGGGAUGUGUAAAUUUGGACAAAAAUGAAGGAAUUUUACAAUUUCCACCAUGUUGAUGAGUUGGCCUGGAGUUGAGCCUGUUCACCAUACAAUUUCUGAAGUUUAUCAGGCAAUCAUGUAUUUCUUUUAUGUUAUUAAUUUGGAAGAGAAAUGUUGGUAAGCAAGGAACUGUAUUAAAAAAAAAAAAGAACUGCUUAUUUUGGAAAAGCCAUGAAGUAUACAAGCAAAAUAUGCAAAGCUAUAUACAUACUUAGUAAUAAUCCAUUUUUUUACCCAACUUCAAGAUCUUUAGAUUCAGUGUAUUGAGAAACUUGGUAUUCUUAUGUCUGAACUCUCUGUCUCUCUCCUGCAGAAUGCAAGAUGCU